CCUUGCAGCGGGACGUGCUGCGGCAGCCCUCACACUGCUCCUCUCCUCAGUCCGGAGCUGGGCUGUGCGGGGAAACCCAGCCUGGCCCCAAGCAGAGGGCAGGACGCUCCCUGCAAACCCGUGGUCCUGGGGCUGUCACAGGUGGCACUGGCAGGUGGAGGCCUUGCUGUAGCUGACGGAGCGCUUGGUGGCCUUCUUCCACUUUUUCACCCUCUGCACGACCCGCUUGAAGAUGAGGUAGAAGAUCUCACAGACGGUGAGGACGAUGCAGAUGGAGGAGGCCCCGACCAUGAAAUAGGUGAAGACUCUCUUCUCUGUGGGCCGAGCGAUGUAGCAGUCCACGGUAUUGGGGCAGGGCUCCAGCUUGGAGCACUUGACCAGCCGCGGCAGGUCGAAGCUGUCCCACAUCUUGUGCAGGAGGUAGAGGAAGAGGAUCUCUAUGACCAGCUUGAAGAAGAGGCUCAGCAGGCCACGUGCAUGAUGACCAGCAGGGAGGGACAAGUGACGAAGAUGAGCUGCAGGGCCCACAGGCGGAUGUGGGAGAUGGGGAAGAAGUGGUCAUAGCAGACGUUGGUGCAGCCGGGCUGCCGCGUGUUGCAGUCAAAGUCCUUCUGCUCGUCCCCCCAGACGCGCUCGGCCGCCACCACGUAGACCAGCACGCGGAAGACGAAGACCACGGAGAGCCAGAUGCGGCCGAAGGCCGUGGAGUACUUGUUGACCCCGCUGAGCAGCGCCUGCAGCGUUUUCCAAUCCAUGGGGACUGGCGCUGGCGGCAGCCAGGGUCAGGAACCUGGAGAAAGAGCAGCUGGAGGACGCAGCAGGGCCCAGACCCUCGUAACCCCACUGACCUCCCAAAUUCUCCCCAAUCCGUUACUGGGGACGGGGCACGACCCCACUCGUGUACUCGUGGCCGACCCCACGGUGUCACGGUGGUGCUCAGAUGUGACUCAAGCUCUCUGCAUUUCCCUCUGAUAGAGGCUUUGCCGUAAGAAA